rnacentral:rRNA from 1 species
UACGGGGGGGGCAAGCGUUGUUCGGAAUUACUGGGCGUAAAGGGUUUGUAGGUGGCUUGUUAAGUCAGACGUGAAAUCCCUCAGCUUAACUGGGGAACUGCGUCUGAUACUGGCGAGCUUGAGUGUGGCAGAGGGAGGUAGAAUUCCACGUGUAGCGGUGAAAUGCGUAGAUAUGUGGAGGAAUACCGAUGGCGAAGGCAAUCCCCUGGGCCUGCACUGACGCUCAUGCACGAAAGCGUGGGGAGCAAACAGG